rnacentral:rRNA from 1 species
GACGAACGCUGGCGGCGUGCUUAACACAUGCAAGUCGAACGGAAAGGCCCUGCUUGCAGGGUACUCGCGUGGCGAACGGGUGAGUAACACGUGGGUGAUCUGCCCUGCACUUCGGGAUAAGCCUGGGAAACUGGGUCUAAUACCGGAUAGGAGCCAUUUUUAGUGUGAUGGUUGGAAAGUUUUUUCGGUGUAGGAUGAGCUCGCGGCCUAUCAGCUUGUUGGUGGGGUAAUGGCCUACCAAGGCGGCGACGGGUAGCCGGCCUGAGAGGGUGGACGGCCACAUUGGGACUGAGAGACGGCCCAGACUCCUACGGGUGGCAGCAGUGGGGAAUAUUGCACAAUGGGCGCAAGCCUGAUGCAGCGACGCCGCGGGGGGGAUGACGGCCUUCGGGUUGUAAACUCCUUUCGCUAGGGACGAAGCUUUUUGUGACGGUACCUAGAUAAGAAGCACCGGCUAACUACGUG